AAAAAGGGUAAGUUGGCUAUGUAUGCCACACACAGCUUUUAAUUGAUGGGCGUUAUAUGGUUAUAAAGACAUAUGACCGACAUAACUUAUGGAUAAAAUAAGUGUAGCUUGCUCGGCCAACCCUUUG